rnacentral:misc_RNA from 1 species
UAUGCAUGAAAGGUGAAAAUCAAUUUAAGUACAGGAGAGAAUUUCUACAGCCAGAAGAUCUGGCAUGAGUAUGACAAAUGAAAUGCUAAACUUCUGCUACUGAAUCUAAAUUAAAGUGCAAAAAUUGAUCCUCGAGGCUCCUGAUUCAGUAUUGAUGAUUGAGUUCUUGUCUCGAAUUAUCUGCAGUCUAAGGCCAGGACAGAUCGAUACAAA